GAGGGUAGAGCUCCAUGGUAGAGCGCAUGCUUAGCAUGCACGAGGUCCUGGGUUCAAUCCCCAGUACCUCUG
rnacentral:tRNA from 1 species